rnacentral:rRNA from 1 species
UACGGGGGGGGCAAGCGUUGUUCGGAAUUACUGGGCGUAAAGGGCUCGUAGGUGGCCAACUAAGUCAUACGUGAAAUCCCUCGGCUUAACCGGGGAACUGCGUCUGAUACUGGAUGGCUUGAGUUUGGGAGAGGGAUGCGGAAUUCUAGGUGUAGCGGUGAAAUGCGUAGAUAUCUGGAGGAACACCGGUGGCGAAGGCGGCAUCCUGGACCAAUACUGACACUGAGGAGCGAAAGCCAGGGGAGCAAACGGG